UGGGUGAUCUGCCCUGCACUCUGGGAUAAGCCUGGGAAACUGGGUCUAAUACCGGAUAGGACUACGGCCUGCAUGGGUUGUGGUGGAAAGCUUUUGCGGUGUGGGAUGGGCCCGCGGCCUAUCAGCUUGUUGGUGGGGUGACGGCCCACCAAGGCGACGACGGGUAGCCGGCCUGAGAGGGCGACCGGCCACACUGGGACUGAGACACGGCCCAGACUCCUACGGGAGGCA
rnacentral:rRNA from 1 species